AUUUCAACCAGAUAAUCAUAAGUUCCUUCAUGCCACACUUAGAGCUCCUACAGGCAAGGAGCAGAAGAAGAACAUACACCAUAUUCAAGAUUUAAAUAGCUAAAGCAAAUUUUCCAACCCCGGUAACAGAUUUUAGCCAAUCAGUAGCUCCUGUUCAACACAUGCCAACCACUGGAAAGAGAUGAAAUUUCAAAUCCACACAGAAACCUUGUGCAGUUAAGAUUCAAAGUGGAAACAUUUAAUAACUCAAGAUAAACUGCAGGCAAGUCGUGCACAGAUAACCGACAGUGUAGGCAUAUGCUGGUCAAAGACUAACAAAACAGUAUCUAGAGCGAGCCCUAUACAGCAUGCCCAAGAUAACACGCAUGUAAUAAGGAAGAAAAAGAAAGAAAAAACAAAGGAUUAAUUUAUUGUUAAGUAAGGUGAAUUAUGUUCCAAAGAUGAAAGGCAGAAAGAAGGUGCUAACCAAGUACAGAUACAGUAAAACUGUUGUCCUAAACUAGAAACAAAAGCAGCUAUUCUGCUGAAACUUUGUUCAUGGGUAACUAUAAGCAAAUCAUUUGAUAUCAGAAUACUACCAGCAUCAAGAAAAUAACACUUUCAUAUGCCAGUAGAGACGGCAAGAUUUGGGGUUGCAAUUGACAAAGAUGAAGGUGGAGAAAGGAUAGCAACUGACAGAUGCGUAACCUCUGUGCAUGGUAAUGGCAUGUGGUGCUUCCAAGGGGGAGGGAGGCCUUCCAAAUGGAAGCGGAAUCUCGGUCAAAUUUUACGUCAUAAUCUCAGCAGAUAUGGCUGGGAUGGGGAUGGAGCACGUGGCAGUAAUGAGGAAGCUGCAUGGAAAUCAUAGAUCAAGGAUGGGGUCUCAAAAAGUUCAUACUGGUUGGAGCUCAAAAGGGAUACGGCUCAAUGCAGUUAAGAUUUAAGAGGCAGAGAAAAUGCACAUCGGUUGAAAGUUGAGACUAAAAGAUGCGAGCAGCAGAUGAAUCUGCGACGGAUUAAGAAUCAAUCAGUAAUUAAUCAGGAUCCAAGAAUGGCAUCCAAUUAGAGAAGGCAAACAAUGUUAAUCAGACAUAGAUAUCUCGCCCACGUCAGCUAGGCUUUUAGCUAGGGAUCAUCAUGAGCUUUCAUAGUAAGUGGUGUCACAAGACGUCUUUCCACCAAGUGACUCGUCAUUCUUAAAUUCAUUAAGGUGAU